UUUAGCCUUCUCUUGAGGGGCAGAGGAACACGAUGGAGGAUCUGAAUUUGUUCAAGGUGGUAGCUGUUAUCCAAGACCAGCAGAGACCUGGUGGCAGCAAGAAUGUCAAGAUACCUAUAGCCAUGUAGAGGUAGCUGCCCAUAGAUGACUUGGAUCUUCAUUUUUUUGUGUGAAAUUGAAAUUUAUGGAUGUCCUCAGAGCAUGCUUAGUUCCUCUGAAACUGGAUGCUGUGAGCUGACACUGCAAGAGGAUGCUGGUUCUGAUGUCUUCUGCACACCUCUUUGAUCUGUGUUGAUGCAGGAUAAAUAUCAGUGAUUGGAGGCUUUUAUUUUUAAAAGCUUUUCAUUUUAGGCUUAUAUAACAAGGUAAAAGACUUACCUUUCCAGCUUUUAAAAUGAGGGUGAAAUCCAUUAAAACUGGCAGAAGAGUUGGUUCCAUAUCCACAGAGUCAACAGAGCCAAACAGAAAUAUGAAGCUGAGAAAAAAGGAGGGAAUGUAUGCAGCUGCAUGGCAUAGAGUCCAGCUCAGAACCUGCCUACCCAUCAGUUCUUUCUAGAUGAAAGAGUUGAUGAAGCUUCAAAAGUGGUUCCAUACUCUAGGAGAUGUGUGAUAGUACUGUCCUGGUUUGAGCAACCUGAACUGCAGAUGUCACUCUUCGUGGGAACUCAACCCUUUUGUUGCCUGCAGCAUCGGACUGCACAAACUACACAAUUCUUUACCCCAUGGAAGUGUCAGGAGGAAAUGUGGGCUGUGAUGAUCAAAAACAAAAGACUCUUUGGGAUCUUCGACCUUGUGCAAUUAAAGGUCUCCCUUCAAUACCUACUUCAUCAUUUAAUGUCUGUGGUGCCAAUAAUGUGCUGGUGCUUUGGUAUGGUAUCAACUCCAAGGGAAGAGUGCCACCUACUGAACUACCAGUUCUCUAUUUUGUGACAUAUAUAUCUGCCAGUUUUUCACCCAAAAUACUGACCAAAUCCUGUCUUGUGUAAGACAUGCAAUAUCAAGGCCUUGACAUGGCAUAUCCAAAUGUGUGAUGUUCCCAGUGUGGAUGAGAUCACUGUGCUGUGGCACUUGGAAACAUAAUCCUUUCCUCCUUUGUGGAUGUUUGAACGUGGAUUUUAACACGAUAAUUAUAAAAGACUGCAAUAAAAAUGAAGUUAGUAACAACCCACAUAAUGUUACUGUUAUCUGACCCUGAUUUGAACUCUCCACUGCUAUAAAAGCUAAAAUAUACUGCUAAUGAUUUCUUUGAAAAUAUGCUAAUAAUUAAUGCAUUAUUUCAGUCUUAGUCUCAUAAAAAUUAGAAAUGUCUUUAAAAAGAAUUAAAACAAUAAAGCUUUUUGUGCUUCCUC
rnacentral:lncRNA from 7 species